UUUCCCACGAGACUUCCGGUGAGAUUUCAACAAGUAUGGCCGCUCACUGUUGUAUGUAGCAUGGGCUGGUGUCUGUAUGGAGCUGCUGCAGAAACUUCUACCAACCGAGGGUUGAUGUAUUUUUGAGCCCUGUGAGACUCUCUAAAACCGGAACUGGCCAGGUUCCUUUGUUCCCAUAUAUUGGGUGGCGAGCUAGAGACAGGCCUCGUGCCUCAGCCUGGAAAGAAGCGACUGCAACUCCCAUCAGUGUG